rnacentral:lncRNA from 1 species
AAAUAUCAAUCAAGUCCCUGUCUUGGAAAAUGGAGCGGGUAAAUCAGUUUUUAAGCAUUUCCACUUAAUGGGCUGUUUUCAGUAUUCCCAGUUUCCGUCCUGGCCUCUGUGAUAUAGUGCCUCGUUCUGGGUAAUUUACACAAACCAACAUCUGUGGGCUUUGCUGUUCUUCCAACCGUGCUGAGCGAGGACGGCAGGUUUUGUUUCUCUCUUGGCAGCUCUGGGUUUGGUUACUGUAGUUUUGCAAAGAAGCCCAUUACUUCCCCAUAGCACACGAACACACUCUGGCAAGCAGACACACUGCUGGACUAUACGUUUAUACCCACACACUUAGAAAUGUAGGAGCACGUGCCCUAUGACUCACACCCGCUCCCUAGGGCCAGGAAGUGGCAAGAGGAGGAAAUGACUGGUGGGGCCUUUCGUUCAUCCCUUCGCAGAUGCGCAGAGCACUGAACGACUGGUGCUGAGGAGCGCCCGCCAUGAAGCUCUUUGUCUUUCUGCUGCUUACCUUUGUGAGCCUCAAGGAUGGUGCGGAUGCAGAAGAAGGCACAUUUCCAAACACUGGACAAGGAGCAGAUACCACAGAGUCCACCACAUUAUUCUCCACAGAAGAAGAUGAAGAAACUGUGUCAAACCUCCUGCAGUUGAAGGAUUUAUUAAAAAAUGUUAGAACACCUAAAGCGGAAGUGGAACCAACAGAAGGAAUCACUUCUAGUGUUACAGAAUCCACUAGUGCGACAGAUGUGGCAUCUACUGUUGGAGUGACAACCGCAGUUGGAAUCACCACUAGCAGGUUGAAAAUCACCAGUGUUGCAGGUGUCACCUUUGCUCGAAAUCCAUCUGUUAAACGGAAAGGAACAGCAGAUGUUAUGAAGAUAAAUUACCAUGACAAUGUUUUCAAUUAUGAUUAUGAUUCCCUACGCAAAUGGGGCUUAAUAGCUGCGGCAGUCCUCUUCAUUCUUGGCAUUCUCAUCCUUACCUGUGGCAAACAUGGGAAAUCCCGAUGCCGAGGGAAGAAACGGACAAGGAACUAUGAUGUGACCCAGGCCUGAUGUCACAUCACGCCCUUGUGAGGACAACUGCACUGACUGAGAAGAUGGAAAUGCUUAAGUGCAGCAAUGGCCCAUGGAGCAGUUCUGGCAAAUAGGAGUGUCAUGAGGGGUCCGCUGGACACCUCAGUUUGAUCUCCCCAGGCCACAUGUUGAACCACAGUUCCCUGAUGUACAGUUUGGGGAGAUCAAAGUGAGGACAACACCUGAAGCCUCAGCCCUUCCUCAUCUCCCUAUAGUUCCUAUCCACAGCGUGUUGCUACUUCAAGGAUGGUGCUACCUAUGGAUUGACCAUCUAAUGAACUUUCCUUUUUCUUCUAGAUGGAGGUACCUGUCUAGUUUUCCUCCACAACCUUCCAACCCUUGUUUGACCUCCCAAUAUAUCCUUCACCACUCCCACUCCCACAUCUCUGCCCAUUUUUCUUGUCCUCUCUUUGUUCUCUUUUCAUAUUAUUAAACCAGUCCCUCUGGAGAAUCAGCACAUUUGUGAAUUUAUUCAUUAUUUGUGCUCCCCGAGGUCCGAAGAGAUUCAGGCUGCUAUGCAAACUUAAAGGCAGUGCUGCUGAGGCUCUGUGCCAAGGAAAACCCCUUGUACUUGUUCUGAGCUCAAAUUCUGUACUUGCAAUAAAUUGUUGGCGUGGUUUGAUAUUUUUUCUAAG